GCCUUAUUAGAUACCCUGGUAGUCCACGCCGUAAACGAUGAUUACUAGGUGUCGGUGGGUAUGGACCCACCGGUGCCGCAGCAAACGCAGUAAGUAAUCCACCUGGGGAGUACGUUCGCAAGAAUGAAACUCAAAGGAAUUGACGGGGACCCGCACAAGCGGUGGAGCAUGUGGUUUAAUCCGAAGCAACGCGAAGAACCUUACCAAGUCUUGACAUCCCAUUGACGUAUGGGUAAUGCCAUAUUCCCUUCGGGGCAAUGGAGACAGGUGGUGCAUGGUUGUCGUCAGCUCGUGUCGUGAGAUGUUGGGUUAAGUCCCGCAACGAGCGCAACCCUUAUCCUCAGUAGCCAGCAGGUAAAGCCGGGCACUCUGGGGAGACUGCCGGGGAUAACCCGGAGGAAGGUGGGGAUGACGUCAAAUCAUCAUGCCCCUUAUGAUUUGGGCUACACACGUGCUACAAUGGCGUAAACAGAGGGAAGCGAACCCGCGAGGGGGAGCAAAUCCAGAAAUAACGUCCCAGUUCGGAUUGUAGUCUGCAACCCGGCUACAUGAAGCUGGAAUCGCUAGUAAUCGCGGAUCAGAAUGCCGCGGUGAAUACGUUCCCGGGUCUUGUACACACCGCCCGUCACACCAUGGGAGUCGGAAAUGCCCGAAGUCUGUGACCCAACCUCAGGGAGGGAGCAGCCGAAGGCAGGUCGGAUGACUGGGGUGAAGUCGUAACAAGGUAAC
rnacentral:rRNA from 1 species